rnacentral:rRNA from 1 species
GUGGGGAAUCUUCCGCAAUGGACGAAAGUCUGACGGAGCAACGCCGCGUGAGUGAAGAAGGUUUUCGGAUCGUAAAGCUCUUUCGUUAGGGACGAACGUGCUCUUUGUGAAUAAUGAGGAGUAAUGACGGUACCUAAAUAAGAAGCCACGGCUAACUACGUGCCAGCAGCCGCGGUAAUACGUAGGUGGCAAGCGUUGUCCGGAAUUAUUGGGCGUAAAGCGCGCGCAGGCGGGAUAUCAAGUCUGUCUUAAAAGUGCGAGGCUCAACCUCGUGAGGGGACAGAAACUGGUAUUCUUGAGUGUCGGAGAGGAAAGUGGAAUUCCAAGUGUAGCGGUGAAAUGCGUAGAGAUUUGGAAGAACACCAGUGGCGAAGGCGACUUUCUGGACGAUGUCUGACGCUGAGGCGCGAAAGCUAGGGGAGCGAACGGGAUUAGAAACCCUAGUAGUUC